UACUUACUUUAUUUCCCAUUUUUAAAAGCUACGUGGUUUUGUGUGUAAAGAGAGGCCCCUUAACGUUGCGCUGCGAAGGUAGUUCUCAGUUACCUGUAUUACCAGCGACCCAUGGAACAUUGCGUCGGCGAUGUCUCGGGCACGGACUGACCCAAGAUAUUUGAGGCUCCGCUAAUUAACGACUUUGUUUAGAUCUUCUAUAUCCGUAGUCUUUUUGCGUAUUUGAACUGUGCUGGGUUGAGAGAUCACUGUAAUUCCAUUUUAUUUCUGUCUUUCCUGGGGCCGUUAUUAAUAUUUUUUUUUUGCAGUGUUUGCUCCGUGACGUUUUGAUCCCGCGGUCCUAGAUUCACGCUGCAUCUUCAUUGCAGCAUUGGUCCCUCUCUGAUGACUGCCCAUCAUUCCACGGCGCCGUUUCUGUCGACUUCAUGAAGAAUAAUGCUGUCGAGGAAGGCCGGCAUUUCAGUAAAACCUCGGCAGGCACAUGUACUCCAAACGUUAAUAUCCUGGGAGAUUACGCGCGAUGGCCAUUUGGACACAGCUAGAGAGGAGACGAUGAAAAAUUUAUCAGCGUCGGAACGGGGCUGGAUAAGCCAUCUUGGCAGACACAGACCUGAAUUGUUCCAGGCAGUUUCUGCAGGGCUUUCCCCAGGAUACACAAGGUCUCGGAUGGGCUAGACUUUGGGGAAGCAGUGGAGGGGAUCGCGGGGACCAGCCUUCCCCAAAAGACAGAGCUCCGCCGACCGCUGCCCCGGUCAGCUUCGCACGACCGUCCCUGCGGCCGACUCACAAGCUCAUGACGGGGAAAUGCCAGCAAAGCCCACGAGGACCGUGUCUAACGGUGACGCUAAAUAACGGCAGAAGCCGCAGCCCCGGCUGCAUGGACUGAGCACUUCCUGCAGGCCAGACUCUCGCAGAUGCUCCGCACACCUGGCCUCCGGGACGCAUCCCAGGCUGCCGGUGCGCUGGGCCGUCCGCAGUGGCCCCAUGUCACGGGGGGGAGGUAAAGGCACGGGAAAGGGUCGUGGGAUUCCCAUUAGGUCCGCAGCUCGCAGGAGGUGGGCCUGCUCCAGCCCGGGCUGCGUGACCGCGGGGGCGCCUGCGUCACUCAGGGCCCCUCCGUUUCAAGCUACCCCCCACCCCCCGAGUCUAACGGAGACAGCUGGCAGCUGGAGACACCGGAAGAAGAGGGUUGCUAAUAAAAGGCUUCAAAAGGGCGCUGACUUACAGUAUAGAGACCAUUCGAGAUUAAAAUCCAGAUUUUCAAAGAGGGGUGAUUCAUUUUGCAGCUGCAACCUAUCCACGGGCCGAUUAACUCCUCUCACUACCGGCUGUUUGCCCUAUUGUAAGGUUGCAGACAUAUCCAGUUAAUCCCACAGUUACCAGUUGUAGAGACGUUAGAUUUACAUAUAAUCACAGCUCAACAUCAUGCCCGUGGACGUAAUAAAUGGUUACGUCCUUUCAUCGGUGGGUUUAGCUUCCUGGUGGCCAGUAAUUUUGAAAUCGCGAUGUGCGCUGCCCUGGAAUCUAAUAUUCAUUAUGAUCUUUUGAAGUUUACGUUGGAAAGUACUUCAAACCCUAUCGGUACAUCAAAUUAUAAUGCGUUGCUUCUCUCU